rnacentral:rRNA from 1 species
ACGGGUGAGUAAUACAUCGGAACGUGCCCAAUCGUGGGGGAUAACGGCAGCGAAAGCUGUGCUAAUAACCGCAUACCGAUCUACGGAUGAAAGCAGGGGAUCGCAAGACCUUGCGCGAAUGGAGCGGCCGAUGGCAGAUUAGGUAGUUGGUGAGGUAAAGGCUCACCAAGCCUUCGAUCUGUAGCUGGUUUGAGAGGACGACCAGCCACACUGGGACUGAGACACGGCCCAGACUCCUACGGGAGGCAGCAGUGGGGAAUUUUGGACAAUGGGCGCAAGCCUGAUCCAGCCAUGCCGCGUGCAGGAUGAAGGCCUUCGGGUUGUAAACUGCUUUUGUACGGAACGAAACGGCCUUUUCUAAUAAAGAGGGCUAAUGACGGUACC